rnacentral:tRNA from 1 species
GUUAGCUCAGUUGGUAGAGCAUCUGACUUUUAAUCAGAGGGUCGUGGGUUCGAUCCCCACAC